rnacentral:rRNA from 1 species
AGUGGGGAAUAUUGCACAAUGGGGGAAACCCUGAUGCAGCAACGCCGCGUGAAGGAUGAAGGUUUUCGGAUUGUAAACUUCUUUAGUCGGGGACGAAGAAAUGACGGUACCCGAAGAAUAAGCCACGGCUAACUACGUGCCAGCAGCCGCGGUAAUACGUAGGUGGCGAGCGUUGUCCGGAAUUACUGGGUGUAAAGGGCGUGUAGGCGGGUAUGCAAGUCAGAUGUGAAAUUCCAGGGCUCAACCCUGGCGCUGCAUCUGAAACUGCGUAUCUUGAGUGCUGGAGAGGGAAGCGGAAUUCCUAGUGUAGCGGUGAAAUGCGUAGAUAUUAGGAGGAACACCAGUGGCGAAGGCGGCUUUCUGGACAGUAACUGACGCUGAGGCGCGAAAGCGUGGGGAGCAAA